CCUACGGGCGGCUGCAGUGAGGAAUAUUGGUCAAUGGGCGCGAGCCUGAACCAGCCAAGUCGCGUGAGGGAUGACGGUCCUACGGAUUGUAAACCUCUUUUGCCGGGGAGCAAGCGUGCGUUCGUGAACGCGCGUCGAGAGUACCCGGAGAAAAAGCAUCGGCUAACUCCGUGCCAGCAGCCGAGGUAAUACGGAGGAUGCGAGCGUUAUCCGGAUUGAUUGGGUUUAAAGGGUGCGUAGGCGGGAUGCCAAGUCAGCGGUAAAAAUGCGGUGCUCAACGCCGUCGAGCCGUUGAAACUGGCGUUCUUGAGAUGUCGAGAGGUAUGCGGAAUGCGCAGUGUAGCGGUGAAAUGCUUAGAUAGUGCGCAGAACUCCGAUUGCGAAGGCAGCAUACCGGCGGCGAUCUGACGCUGAGGCACGAAAGCGUGGGUAUCGAACAGGAUUAGAUACCCGUGUAGUC
rnacentral:rRNA from 1 species